rnacentral:lncRNA from 1 species
CGUUACUAAUUGUGCACAUGUUUGUGUGGCAUGAUCUUUAACGUGCCAAUGGAAAAGAGUAUACGUACGCGUAACUCAAUUCUUUAAUUAUGAACUAUCAAGUGAUUAAAAGCGGUUUGAAGGUAAAUGCACAUAGGCUCUAAAGAUGAGUAGUUAAACAAUUUAAGCCAAGUAAUAAUUACUAAGCGACCGUGCUAGAACCACGUAACUCGGGAAUGCCUAACACCUUCUCCCGGGUUAACAGAAUUCCUUAUCUAGAAUUUCGGUUUGCGGACUGUUAAACAGAGUCAAUCUUUUCCUCGAUUAGGGAUUCAAGGGUUCGCAGACUUUAAAAAUAAAAUUUU